rnacentral:rRNA from 1 species
UGGGGAAUAUUGGACAAUGGGCGCAAGCCUGCUCCAGCCAUGCCGCGUGAGUGAUGAAGGCCCUAGGGUUGUAAAGCUCUUUCACCGGUGAAGAUAAUGACGGUAACCGGAGAAGAAGCCCCGGCUAACUUCGUGCCAGCAGCCGCGGUAAUACGAAGGGGGCUAGCGUUGUUCGGAUUUACUGGGCGUAAAGCGCACGUAGGCGGACUAUUAAGUCAGGGGUGAAAUCCCGGGGCUCAACCCCGGAACUGCCUUUGAUACUGGUAGUCUUGAGUUCGAGAGAGGUGAGUGGAAUUCCGGGUGUAGAGGUGAAAUUCGUAGAUAUUCGGAGAAACACCAGUGGCGAAGGCGGCUCACUGGCUCGAUACUGACGCUGAGGUGCGAAAGCGUGGGGAGCAAACAGG